rnacentral:lncRNA from 1 species
AGGAUAGAUAUAAACUUCAGAUGAAAUAAGCAUAAACCACUUCAGAAUAAACAUAAACUAUCUAUAAUAAAUACAAGCGGAUCAAGAAUAAACUUAAAUACUCCAGAAUGAACACAAACUCAAAUCUCAGCCCUUGAUGCCAUGGUCUUUCAUAUAAAAACUUUGUGGAGUAAUAGAACUUACAUGAAGAUGAAGUCAUUAAUGCCA